rnacentral:rRNA from 1 species
AUUGAACGCUGGCGGCAUGCCUUACACAUGCAAGUCGAACGGUAACAGGUCUUCGUUUGCUGACUAGUGGCGGACGGGUGAGUAAUACAUCGGAACGUGCCCAGACGUUGUGGAUAACGGGGCGCAACCUUUGCUAAUACCUCAUACCAUCUAAUGUUGAAAGCAGGGGACCUCAAGGCCUUGCGCGUUUGGAGCGGCCGAUGGCAGAUUAGGUAGUUGGUGGGAUAAAAGCUUACCAAGCCGACGAUCUGUAGCUGGUCUGAGAGGACGACCAGCCACACUGGGACUGAGACACGGCCCAGACUCCUACGGGAGGCAGCAGUGGGGAAUUUUGGACAAUGGGCGAAAGCCUGAUCCAGCAAUGCCGCGUGCAGGAUGAAGGCCUUCGGGUUGUAAACUGCUUUUGUACGGAACGAAAAGGCUCUGGAUAAUACCUGGGGCACAUGACGGUACCGUAAGAAUAAGCACCGGCUAACUACGUG